rnacentral:rRNA from 1 species
AUGGCUCCUCAAGUUUUUCGCACCCAAUCUCUGAUUGUCCAUUCCCACCAUGCACUCUCUCUUCUCUGCGCCAUCCUUGUAUUUCUGUCCUCCAACACAAUGGUGUUCACAUCAGCACAAGCUAGCAACAGAUCCGAGAGUGACCGGCAAGCCCUUCUCUGCUUCAAAUCUGGCAUCUCCGUGGACCCUCUCAGUGCUCUUGAAUCAUGGCGCAACGACUCGCUUGACUUCUGCAGCUGGAGCGGGGUCUUCUGCAGCAUUGCCCUCCCAGUCCGUGUUGUGGUCAUACAAAUCAGGUCUGCACGGCUCACAGGAACACUAUCCAGAUGCAUAGCAGGCCUUAGUUCUCUAGAGCAGAUGGACCUUGGGUACAAUGGAUUGUCUGGAAGCGUGCCUGAAGAGAUAGGUGAGCUUGGGAGCCUCCGAACUCUGGAUCUUGCGGGAAACAAGUUUGCAGGUAACAUCCCUCUGUCGUUAGGUGCAUCUGCAUCCCUUAGCUAUGUCAACCUCGCAGACAAUUCUCUUAGUGGAGUUAUCCCUCAUUCCUUAUCAAAUAGUUCGUCACUCAGUGUGAUAAUGCUCUCAUGGAACAACUUAUCUGGGGUGAUCCCGGCUAAUCUGCUCAUGUCAUCCAAACUUUCCUAUGUUGAUCUCCAGUGGAAUGCUCUCUCAGGGGCAAUCCCACAUUUCCAAAAGAUGGAUGCUCUGAAAUAUUUAUGUCUUGAAGGGAAUUUACUUUCUGGUAAUAUACCAGCAUCUUUGGGAAAUGUUUCGUCCUUGCGUUCCCUCAUGCUAGGACAAAACAUGCUCUCUGGAAACAUACCAGCUGAGAUAGACAACCUUGUAAGCCUCACUGAGCUUGACAUGGGCCAGAACAUGCUCUCUGGACAAAUUCCCCUGACAGUUUGGAACUUGAGCAACUUGUUUGUCCUGAAACUUUCCAUGAAUAGGUUGUCAGGUAAAAUUCCAUCAACGGUUAGUAAUCUAGCUCAACUCGGAAUGUUUUAUCUUGAUGACAAUGAAUUGUCUGGAAACAUACCAGCAAAUAUAGGAAAAUUCAAAAGGCUGCUUAUGCUGAACUUAUCAGUUAACCGCCUUGAUGGAUUCAUACCAAGAGAACUAUUCAGUAUUCCCACCCUUUCACUGGGUUUGGACUUGUCAAACAACAACCUGACUGGGCGGAUACCACAGGAAGUUGGUAACCUGAUCAAUCUUGGCCUCCUUAAUGUUUCCAACAACAAAUUAAUUGGUGGCCUUCCUUUUGAACUUGGCUGGUGUGUCCAAUUAUUAUCCCUUCAAAUGGAAAACAACAUGCUUAGUGGGCAGAUUCCUCAGUCUCUCAGUGCACUGAAGGUCAUGCAGCAGAUAGAUCUGUCCGAGAACAAUUUAACUGGUCAAGUUUCACAGUUUUUCGGGAACUUCAGCAGCUUGAAUUAUAUUAAUAUAUCGUACAACAAAUUUGAUGGGCCAGUACCGACAGGUGGUAUAUUUGGAAAUUCAACUGCAGUAUUCCUGCAAGGUAACACAGGGUUAUGUGAAACAGCUGCUGCCAUAUUUGGACUGCCCAUUUGCCCCGCCACCUCAGCAACAAAAAGGAAGAUCAAUGCACCUCUGCUGCUGAUAAUAACUGCACUGAUUACUAUUGCUUCGGUUAUAUUUGUUGUUGUCACUAUUAUGAAGGGGCCCAGAACUCAACCACCUGAAGACUUCAAGGAGACAAUGAAGAGGGUGUCAUAUGGGGAUAUCCUUAAAGCCACCAAUUGGUUCUCUCUGGUCAACCGGAUCAGCUUGAGUCACACAGCAUCAGUCUACAUUGGUCGGUUUGAGUCCGAAACAGAUCUAGUGGCCAUCAAGGUGUUCCAUCUUAGCAAGCAAGGUUCGAGAACUAGCUUUUCCACCGAGUGUGAAGUGCUGAAAAACACCCGCCACCGCAAUCUGGUUCAAGCCAUCACCUUAUGCUCAACCAUAGAUUUUGAGGGCGAUGAAUUCAAGGCUAUAGCAUACGAGUUCAUGGCAAACGGUAGCCUGGACAUGUGGAUACACCCAAGGGUUCAUGGAGGCAGCCCAAGGAGGCUGCUGAGCUUGGGUCAGCGGAUACGUAUUGCUGCUGAUGUGGCUUCUGCUCUGGACUAUAUGCACAACCAUCUGACACCUCCUUUGAUCCACUGCGAUCUGAAGCCAGGCAAUGUGCUGCUGGACUAUGACAUGACAUCACGCAUCGGUGACUUUGGGUCCGCCCAGUUUCUCUCUUCAGGUAUUGGCGGACCAGCAGGCUUGGUUGGCGUCGGAGGAACGAUUGGAUAUAUUGCACCUGAAUAUGGGAUGGGAUGCAAAAUAUCGACAGACUAUGAUGUGUACAGCUUCGGGGUGCUGCUACUGGAGAUGCUCACGGCAAUUCGACCAACGGACGCACUAUGCGGCGACGCUCUCAGCCUUCACAAGUAUGUCAACCUAGCCUUCCCCGACAGAAUCGCUGAAGUUCUAGAUCCCCACAUGCCAUCCGAGGAGGAUCAGAUGGCUGCUUCUGAACGGAUGCAGAAAUACGUUAUACCUUUGGUCGGUAUUGGCCUGAUGUGUACCAUGGAAUCGCCGAAUGAUAGACCAGGAAUGCAUGAUGUUUGUGCCAGAAUUGUUGCCAUCAAAGAGGCAGUUGCCUUGUGA